rnacentral:rRNA from 1 species
GGGUUGUGAGGUUAAGCGACUAAGCGUACACGGUGGAUGCCCUGGCAGUCAGAGGCGAUGAAGGACGUGCUAAUCUGCGAAAAGCGUCGGUAAGGUGAUAUGAACCGUUAUAACCGGCGAUGUCCGAAUGGGGAAACCCAGUGCAAUUCGUUGCACUAUCGUUAACUGAAUACAUAGGUUAACGAGGCGAACCGGGGGAACUGAAACAUCUAAGUACCCCGAGGAAAAGAAAUCAACCGAGAUUCCCCCAGUAGCGGCGAGCGAACGGGGAGCAGCCCAGAGUCUGAAUCAGCUUGUGUGUUAGUGGAACGGUCUGGAAAGUCCGACGGUACAGGGUGAUAGUCCCGUACACCAAAAUGCACAGGUUGUGAACUCGAAGAGUAGGGCGGGACACGUGGUAUCCUGUCUGAAUAUGGGGGGACCAUCCUCCAAGGCUAAAUACUCCUGACUGACCGAUAGUGAACCAGUACCGUGAGGGAAAGGCGAAAAGAACCCCGGCGAGGGGAGUGAAAAAGAACCUGAAACCGUGUACGUACAAGCAGUGGGAGCACCUUCGGGUGUGACUGCGUACCUUUUGUAUAAUGGGUCAGCGACUUAUAUUCUGUAGCAAGGUUAACCGUAUAGGGGAGCCGCAGGGAAACCGAGUCUUAACUGGGCGUUAAGUUGCAGGGUAUAGACCCGAAACCCGGUGAUCUAGCCAUGGGCAGGUUGAAGGUUGGGUAACACUAACUGGAGGACCGAACCGACUAAUGUUGAAAAAUUAGCGGAUGACUUGUGGCUGGGGGUGAAAGGCCAAUCAAACCGGGAGAUAGCUGGUUCUCCCCGAAAGCUAUUUAGGUAGCGCCUCGUGAACUCAUCUUCGGGGGUAGAGCACUGUUUCGGCUAGGGGGUCAUCCCGACUUACCAACCCGAUGCAAACUACGAAUACCGAAGAAUGUUAUCACGGGAGACACACGGCGGGUGCUAACGUCCGUCGUGAAGAGGGAAACAACCCAGACCGCCAGCUAAGGUCCCAAAGUCAUGGUUAAGUGGGAAACGAUGUGGGAAGGCACAGACAGCCAGGAUGUUGGCUUAGAAGCAGCCAUCAUUUAAAGAAAGCGUAAUAGCUCACUGGUCGAGUCGGCCUGCGCGGAAGAUGUAACGGGGCUAAACCAUGCACCGAAGCUGCGGCAGCGACACUAUGUGUUGUUGGGUAGGGGAGCGUUCUGUAAGCCUGCGAAGGUGUGCUGUGAGGCAUGCUGGAGGUAUCAGAAGUGCGAAUGCUGACAUAAGUAACGAUAAAGCGGGUGAAAAGCCCGCUCGCCGGAAGACCAAGGGUUCCUGUCCAACGUUAAUCGGGGCAGGGUGAGUCGACCCCUAAGGCGAGGCCGAAAGGCGUAGUCGAUGGGAAACAGGUUAAUAUUCCUGUACUUGGUGUUACUGCGAAGGGGGGACGGAGAAGGCUAUGUUAGCCGGGCGACGGUUGUCCCGGUUUAAGCAUGUAGGCUGAUUGUCCAGGCAAAUCCGGAUAAUCAAGGCUGAGGUGUGAUGACGAGGCACUACGGUGCUGAAGUAACAAAUGCCCUGCUUCCAGGAAAAGCCUCUAAGCAUCAGGUAACAUUAAAUCGUACCCCAAACCGACACAGGUGGUCAGGUAGAGAAUACCAAGGCGCUUGAGAGAACUCGGGUGAAGGAACUAGGCAAAAUGGUGCCGUAACUUCGGGAGAAGGCACGCUGGUGUGUAGGUGAAGUCCCUGCGGAUGGAGCUGAGACCAGUCGAAGAUACCAGCUGGCUGCAACUGUUUAUUAAAAACACAGCACUGUGCAAACACGAAAGUGGACGUAUACGGUGUGACGCCUGCCCGGUGCCGGAAGGUUAAUUGAUGGGGUUAUCCGUAAGGAGAAGCUCUUGAUCGAAGCCCCGGUAAACGGCGGCCGUAACUAUAACGGUCCUAAGGUAGCGAAAUUCCUUGUCGGGUAAGUUCCGACCUGCACGAAUGGCGUAAUGAUGGCAGGCUGUCUCCACCCGAGACUCAGUGAAAUUGAACUCGCUGUGAAGAUGCAGUGUACCCGCGGCAAGACGGAAAGACCCCGUGAACCUUUACUAUAGCUUGACACUGAACAUUGAGCCUUGAUGUGUAGGAUAGGUGGGAGGCUUUGAAGCGUGGACGCCAGUCUGCGUGGAGCCAACCUUGAAAUACCACCCUUUAAUGUUUGAUGUUCUAACGUUGGCCCCUGACCGGGGUUGCGGACAGUGUCUGGUGGGUAGUUUGACUGGGGCGGUCUCCUCCCAAAGCGUAACGGAGGAGCACGAAGGUUAGCUAAUCCUGGUCGGACAUCAGGAGGUUAGUGCAAUGGCAUAAGCUAGCUUGACUGCGAGCGUGACGGCGCGAGCAGGUGCGAAAGCAGGUCAUAGUGAUCCGGUGGUUCUGAAUGGAAGGGCCAUCGCUCAACGGAUAAAAGGUACUCCGGGGAUAACAGGCUGAUACCGCCCAAGAGUUCAUAUCGACGGCGGUGUUUGGCACCUCGAUGUCGGCUCAUCACAUCCUGGGGCUGAAGUAGGUCCCAAGGGUAUGGCUGUUCGCCAUUUAAAGUGGUACGCGAGCUGGGUUUAGAACGUCGUGAGACAGUUCGGUCCCUAUCUGCCGUGGGCGCUGGAGAAUUGAGGGGGGCUGCUCCUAGUACGAGAGGACCGGAGUGGACGCAUCACUGGUGUUCGGGUUGUCAUGCCAAUGGCACUGCCCGGUAGCUAAAUGCGGAAGAGAUAAGUGCUGAAAGCAUCUAAGCACGAAACUUGCCCCGAGAUGAGUUCUCCCUGAGACUUUAAGUCUCCUGAAGGAACGUUGAAGACGACGACGUUGAUAGGCCGGGUGUGUAAGCGCAGCGAUGCGUUGAGCUAACCGGUACUAAUGAACCGUGAGGCUUAACCUUACAACGCCGAAG